rnacentral:rRNA from 1 species
ACGAACGCUGGCGGCGUGCUUAACACAUGCAAGUCGAACGUGAUUUUUGUGGAAAUUCUUUCGGGAAUGGAAAUGAAAUGAAAGUGGCGAACGGGUGAGUAACACGUGAGCAACCUACCUUACACAGGGGGAUAGCCGUUGGAAACGACGAUUAAUACCGCAUGAGACCACAGAAUCGCAUGAUAUAGGGGUCAAAGAUUUAUCGGUGUAAGAAGGGCUCGCGUCUGAUUAGCUAGUUGGAAGGGUAAAGGCCUACCAAGGCGACGAUCAGUAGCCGGUCUGAGAGGAUGAACGGCCACAUUGGAACUGAGACACGGUCCAAACUCCUACGGGAGGCAGCAGUGGGGAAUAUUGCACAAUGGGGGGAACCCUGAUGCAGCGACGCCGCGUGAGCGAAGAAGGUUUUCGAAUCGUAAAGCUCUGUCCUAUGAGAAGAUAAUGACGGUAUCAUAGGAGGAAGCCCCGGCUAAAUACGU